UACAGAGGUCUCAAGCGUUGUUCGGAUUCAUUGGGCGUAAAGGGUGCGUAGGUGGCGCUGUAAGUCAGGUGUGAAAUUUCGGAGCUUAACUCCGAAACUGCAUUUGAUACUGCGGUGCUCGAGGACUGGAGAGGAGACUGGAAUUUACGGUGUAGCAGUGAAAUGCGUAGAGAUCGUAAGGAAGACCAGUGGCGAAGGCGGGUCUCUGGACAGUUCCUGACGCUGAGGCACGAAGGCCAGGGGAGCAAACGGG
rnacentral:rRNA from 1 species